rnacentral:rRNA from 1 species
AUCGAACGCUGGCGGCAGGCUUAACACAUGCAAGUCGAGCGGGGUGAUGGUGCUUGCACUAUCACUUAGCGGCGGACGGGUGAGUAAUGCUUAGGAAUCUGCCUAUUAGUGGGGGACAACGUCUCGAAAGGGAUGCUAAUACCGCAUACGUCCUACGGGAGAGAGCAGGGGAUCACUUGUGACCUUGCGCUAAUAGAUGAGCCUAAGUCGGAUUAGCUAGUUGGUGGGGUAAAGGCCUACCAAGGCGACGAUCUGUAGCGGGUCUGAGAGGAUGAUCCGCCACACUGGGACUGAGACACGGCCCAGACUCCUACGGGAGGCAGCAGUGGGGAAUAUUGGACAAUGGGGGGAACCCUGAUCCAGCCAUGCCGCGUGUGUGAAGAAGGCCUUAUGGUUGUAAAGCACUUUAAGCGAGGAGGAGGCUCUUUUGGUUAAUACCCAGAAUGAGUGGACGUUACUCGCAGAAUAAGCACCGGCUAACUCUGUGCCAGCAGCCGCCGUAAUAC